rnacentral:rRNA from 1 species
AACGAACGCUGGCGGCAGGCCUAACACAUGCAAGUCGAGCGAGGACUUCGGUUCUAGCGGCGGACGGGUGAGUAACGCGUGGGAAUGUGCCCUUCUCUACGGAAUAGCCCUGGGAAACUGGGAGUAAUACCGUAUACGCCCUUUUGGGGAAAGAUUUAUCGGAGAAGGAUUAGCCCGCGUUGGAUUAGGUAGUUGGUGGGGUAAUGGCCUACCAAGCCGACGAUCCAUAGCUGGUUUGAGAGGAUGAUCAGCCACACUGGGACUGAGACACGGCCCAGACUCCUACGGGAGGCAGCAGUGGGGAAUCUUAGACAAUGGGGGCAACCCUGAUCGAGCCAUGCCGCGUGAGUGACGAAGGCCUUAGGGUUGUAAAGCUCUUUCGGCUGGGAAGAUAAUGACGGUACCAGCAGAAGAAGCCCCGGCUAACUCCGUG